rnacentral:rRNA from 1 species
AGCGGCAGACGGGUGAGUAACGCGUGGGAACGUACCUUUUGGUUCGGAACAACACAGGGAAACUUGUGCUAAUACCGGAUAAGCCCUUACGGGGAAAGAUUUAUCGCCGAAAGAUCGGCCCGCGUCUGAUUAGCUAGUUGGUGAGGUAACGGCUCACCAAGGCGACGAUCAGUAGCUGGUCUGAGAGGAUGAUCUGCCACAUUGGGACUGAGACACGGCCCAAACUCCUACGGGAGGCAGCAGUGGGGAAUAUUGGACAAUGGGCGCAAGCCUGAUCCAGCCAUGCCGCGUGAGUGAUGAAGGCCCUAGGGUUGUAAAGCUCUUUUGUGCGGGAAGAUAAUGACGGUACCGCAAGAAUAAGCCCCGGCUAACUUCGUGCCAGCAGCCGCGGUAAUACGAAGGGGGCUAGCGUUGCUCGGAAUCACUGGGCGUAAAGGGUGCGUAGGCGGGUCUUUAAGUCAGGGGUGAAAUCCUGGAGCUCAACUCCAGAACUGCCUUUGA